GCCGAUUUUGCAAAAAUAGGCUGAUCAUUUAAACACUGAUCAAAACAAUCAUAUAUAUCAAAAUAAUAUGUAGAGUUAGAAGAAAAGUUUACCAACGAACAAAACAAAAUAAUUCUUUAAGCCUAGAGUAUCCUUAUAAGGAGCAAGAUAGAAAUUCGAUGAUACUAAAGAUUUAGGCGGAUGAAAAUUCAGCAUGAGAUUUGAAGUUGCUUAAGCAUUUUGUUGCUUUCUUUAUGCAUAGUAAAAUGAUUUUAUAUUUUUAUUUUUUGUCUUUUCAUUUCUUUGGUGUAUACAAUACAGUAUUUUGGAUGGACCACUAUUUUACAUAUUAGGGUCUUUGUUUUUAGUUUUAGUUAACUGCAAUCCUUUACUGAGGGUCUAUUUUGUUUUUUUUAUUUUUCAAACAAUAAUCUAUACCAUGGUUUACAAUUCUUGUUAUUUACUAAUGUAGUUCUAUAUAUUUAAUAUUAUUCCUGUUUCAUUUUAUGCUUCUAAUAAAUAUAAGAUGUGUUUUGUAUUACAACAAUAGAAUAAUUAUUGUUGUUGGAUUUAUUGAAAGUUUAGAUAAUAAAUUGUCAAGUAUUAUGCUAACAACACUAGGUAAGGCCAUAAAAUUAUUGUUCAAUGACUUAAUGUAUCUAUAAAAGAACUGCAAAUCAUUAUUCUAUGUAAUGCCAUCUUUUCAUAUCCGAUUAUUUCACUCCAUUUUUUUAAGCCAAAUUCGAAAUAUUCACAAUUCUAUAAGUACUUUUGACUUGAUUUUGUCCUCGGACUUUCUAAAAUAAAACUGAUUGUUACCGAUGUUUUGGUUCGUCGAUAUAUUGUUAUUCCCUGACUUGCUAACUAUGGUAUUGACCAUACAUAUGUUUUAUGAAUGGAAAAUGGUUUGAUAGGGCUGCAGCCCUAUCAAAAUAAGUAAAGCCUCACCACAUAAAGCAUCAAAAAUUGCAAUUCAAGCAUCAAAUUUUUUUUACAGCAAUCAUCUCAGUUUGAACAUUAUGUUCGUGAAAAUAAAAGUAAAAAUUCAAGCUCUAAAAGUAGUGUAUCUUGUAACUCUUGUAACAAAUAAUCUUAGACUAUCUAUUUCACUCAAAAAAUAGGUGUCUAAUGUCAACAAGAUCUAUAUCAUUUUUUUUAGUUUUAAAUUUUAUUUUGGUGUAGAAAAUCAAUUUUAGAGCCACCAUGGAGAUUUCUAUUAACGAAAGUGUUUUUCAAACGAGAUUUUAGCAUGAGGAUUUAUUUUGUUUCAUAAAGUCUAGGCCUCAUAGAAACUUCAUCCUUUAUGAGAACUUGAGCAUGUUAUUGUAAUAUUCUAGACUAGAUGACAAACCUGUGCCCACUGUUUUUUAUUUUUUGGGUAAUUCAGUGGGUAAGAUAGGUCAAAAAUUGCAAUUCAAGCAUCAAAUUUUUUUUACUUCGAUAAUCUUAGCUUGAACAUUAUGUUUGUAAAAAUAAAAAUAAAAAGUGAAGCUCUAAAAAUAGUGUAUCUUGUAACAAAUAAUCUUAGACUAUCUAUUUCAUUCAAAAAAUAAGUGUUUAAUGAUCAACAAGAUCUAUAUCAUUUUUUUUUAGUUUCAAAUUUUAUUUUGGCGUUAAAAAUCAUUUUUAGAGCCAUCAUGGAGAUUUCUAUUGCCAAAAGUGUUUUUCAAACGAGAUUUUAGCAUGAGGAUUUAUUUUGUUUCAUAAAGCCUAGGCCUCAAAGAAAUUUCAUCCUUUAAGAGAACUUGAGCAUGUUAUUGUAAUAUUCUAGACAACGUGACAAACUUGUGCCCACUUUUUUUUAUUUUUGGGGUAAUUCAGUGGGUAAGAUAAGCCCUUACCUGUUUUUUUAAAUAGAUUAGAAGUUAGAUUUUUGAAAGUGUAAGUGGGUUACUGUUAGUGGUAGGAAUGGAAACCACAAUGUGGUGAUUAGGUAUGGGGAAGCUAUCACUACGACCCUAGCCCGUGUCCUAAUUUUUUUUGGGUGAGUAAGUGGGGAGAGAGUCCUUCCUCUUCAUAGGAAUUGAGCUUAGGACGUAGCAUUAGAAAUCGUCAGGCGCUAACCAAUUAAGCCCGGGCUCUUUUCCUAAAGUAAGAAUUAGAAAUUCUAAAGUGGGAAUUAAGGGUGGGACGGUAAGUUGAAGCAUCAACCCCCAACACGUUUAUGCAUAAUCAGAUUUUCAAUAGAAAAGGGACCUUAUACUCUAAAGAACUCCUCUAUUUAAUGGACAAGAUUUAUAUGUGUCGGCCUACCCAUCUAUUUAAAUACAUCUUCUUUAAAAGAAUCCAGGGGUCGCAAUGGACACGGACCCGACCUGGGACCCAUGGGGUAGACCUGAUCCAGGUCUGGGUAUGGGUUCAUAAAUUGGACUUGGUAGGUCGGGUCCGGGUCUAAAUCUUCGACCUGAGCACUAUUCAGGUCUGGGCCUGAUAAUAUUUUUUGGGUCUCAAUAUAUAAAAUUUAUUUAAAUAUAGUUAACUUCAUAUGUAUUCUAAUUUUUGGGUCGGGAUCCGUCCCGUUGCUACCCCUAAAAAAAGUCUAUUUUAGAGAUGGAUCUUGUCUUCAAAUUUUUCUUUUUUCUCUUUUUUUUUUUGGCAAUAAUCUCUCUUCAAAAUUUUUUCUUUUUUCUCUUUUUUUUUUGGCAAUAAUCUCUCUUCAAAAUUUUAGUGAAAGUGGAAAAUCUCAAGAAGCAAGAAUCUGAGAAAAAAAAAUAUAUUUUUAUACAAUUAUAACACCAAUAAUUUUAAAUUAUGGUUGGGCUAACAUUUUCUAACAUCCAUAUUGUAAUGGAUGUUUAAUAGAAGUGCAUCCCCUAACGCAAGUUCAAAGCCAUUUUAGCAAGACCAUAAAAGAGAGCACUGUGUUGAAGCUGGACAUAUUUUAGACUCAACCAAUGAUUUAAAAAGCGGAUCGAUGACCCGGAUCAGCCAUCUCAAAAACCAAUCCGAAUCGAUGAAUUGGCGAUCCGGAUUGGGAAUCGGCUGAAUGGGUCGGAUUAAAGCUUCAAAAAAAUCCGAAAAAUUUAUUAAAAUUUAUUAUAAAUAUUGUUUUUUAGGAAUCCAAUAAGAAAUGAGGGUACUACAUUAUUAACUUUCAUUUUUUUCAUCAAUUUGUGAAUAUUGAGAUGCUCUUUCCCUGUAUAAACUUAAGUAUUAAAUUUGCAUCACAUAAAAGAAAAAUCAUAGAAUUAUCAUGGAU
rnacentral:lncRNA from 1 species